GGUUAAGCGACUAAGCGUACACGGUGGAUGCCCUGGCAGUCAGAGGCGAUGAAGGACGUGCUAAUCUGCGAUAAGCGUCGGUAAGGUGAUAUGAACCGUUAUAACCGGCGAUUUCCGAAUGGGGAAACCCAGUGUGAUUCGUCACACUAUCAUUAACUGAAUCCAUAGGUUAAUGAGGCGAACCGGGGGAACUGAAACAUCUAAGUACCCCGAGGAAAAGAAAUCAACCGAGAUUCCCCCAGUAGCGGCGAGCGAACGGGGAGCAGCCCAGAGCCUGAAUCAGUGUGUGUGUUAGUGGAAGCGUCUGGAAAGGCGCGCGAUACAGGGUGACAGCCCCGUACACAAAAAUGCACAUGCUGUGAGCUCGAUGAGUAGGGCGGGACACGUGGUAUCCUGUCUGAAUAUGGGGGGACCAUCCUCCAAGGCUAAAUACUCCUGACUGACCGAUAGUGAACCAGUACCGUGAG
rnacentral:rRNA from 1 species